GAUGAACGCUGACAGAAUGCUUAACACAUGCAAGUCUUUGGCGAAUCUGUGCUUGCACAGGCUAGCCAAGGCGGACGGGUGAGUAACGCGUAAAGAACUUGCCCUGCAGACAGGGAUAACAGACGGAAACGACUGAUAACACCUGAUACAGUUGCCGGCACGCAUGUGCCUGGCAAUGAAAAGAGAUGCUGCAGGAGAGCUUUGCGUCCUAUUAGCUUGUUGGUGAGGUGACGGCUCAACAAGGCGAUGAUAGGUAGCCGGCCUGAGAGGGUGAACGGCCACAAGGGGACUGAGAUACGGCCCUUACUCCUACGGGAGGCAGCAGUGGGGAAUAGUGGACAAUGGGGGCAACCCUGAUACAGCAAUUCUGUGUGCACGAAGAAGGUUUUCGGAGUGUAAAGUGCUUGCAGCAGGGAAGAAGAAAGUGACGGUACCUGCAGAAGAAGCGACGGCUAAAUACGUG
rnacentral:rRNA from 1 species